CUUCCAGUAGCACCUUAGAGACCAACUAAGUUUGUUAUUGGUAUGAGCUUUCGUGUGAAGUGUGCAUGCACACAAAAAUUCAUACCAAUAACAAACUUAAUUAGUCUAUAAGGUGCUACUGGAAG